CUUCGAACGGUCGGCGUUUAUGGGUGCGGCGGUCUCUGAAAAGAAGGACCAACGUCCGUGCUCUGGCUCUCUUUAAGCAUCCAUCGGGAACACGUCGGUCGAAUCCUGCACGGAGAUGCGGACGGACGGGAUCCACCGGCGCAACCUUACGAACUCACGUGCGCUCGAAAAGAAUUCUACACCUGGUUACAAAAAUCAUCGAGAGCUGGUUCGAAGCCGCGUUGCGACGUUUUCCCCGAACGUUUCGAAGAGAUUCGCCAUGGGCAACCGAUCCAUUAGCCGUCACUCGCGGGUCGGGACAAAAACUUUCAAGGUCCACUGUACCCGGUCUAUCGCCUGGAUGAAAGAGAGACAAUUUAAUUCAACGCCAGGCGAUCGCAGGUGCGUUGGCCUGCCUGUAGCCAGCCAGCCAUCUCUCGCCGCGCACAGAUCUUGGGAGGUAGAUAUUACUCCUCGGAGCGAGGUGAUGACAGAUCCCUGGAUCGAUGAGUGGUUCGCCGGACGUGAUCUGGCUGCGCGAUUACACCUCCUCGUCUCUAAACAGAAUCACUUCUUCCCACAUUCAACUCCGUACCCCGAAGAUAACCGUAUAUUUCUGUCCCUCGACCACCUCCGCCCUUUCUUCUUCGUCCACUGCCUACGUAAACCGACCGACGUGUCUGCGUUAUGUUAAAUACGUAUGCUUCUCCGGCUGGCACUUGACGAGCCUCCGAUUUCUCCGGCGUCCCAUCGUCCGCCUCGCCACUCGCGAUCGGAACUCGUCGCUGCCGAUGCGCUCCGGUAGUGCCGAGGAGUUUGUUCCAGAGAUAACGAUGCACUGCCUACAUGAGCGCGAGGAAUCGUCAUGAGAGUAAAAAACACAGAUGAGCGAGGGAGGACAUCCGAGAGAGAAGAACCGCUUGUCGCGUAGCGGACGCGACACUCUCGGGUGCCUUUUCAUCGCCCACGUCUGUAUAUUCCCCGCGAAUUCCUGCAUUUCUCGGCUACUCUCAUCCUCAGCCGUGACUUCUCAGCCGCCCUUACGGACC